rfam:Dipodomys ordii contig_18853, whole genome shotgun sequence.
GGGAAUGUGGCUUAGUGGUAAAGUGCUUGCCUAGCAUGCAUGAAGCCCUAGGUUCGAUUCCUUAGUACUA